GUCACCACCGAGGGAGGGUUGGAUUGAAAUGAAAAGAGAAAAAAGUUGUCAGGUGAUUUGAGUCCGGUUUGACAAACACUCCACCCCGCGUCAUUUCAAAACACUCCACCCAAAAAACGGAGGGAAGACCAAAAGCUGCGUUGGCGGCAAAAUUACCCAACUCUCUCUCUCUCUCUCUCUCAUACACACACACUCAACAAGACGUACCAAACAAACAAGCUUUUUAUCUUCCAUCACUUCACCAAAUGCAAAUACCAUCAUCUCUCUCUCUCUCUCUCUCUGAGCUCGAUCGUUAUGUCACCGUCUCAUUCGAUUUCCAAAGUUUGAAGUUCUUUACGCAUUGAAUCGUCGACAAUGAAGCUUGAUUUUAACAAUCACGGCCUUUACAAUGUUCGAUUUCGGAAACAUCAAUUUGAUUAUUAAUUUUUUUUGAUUUUUGAUUUUUGUUGUUUUAUUUCUCUGAUUGUGGGGUUGGCUUGUGGAGUCAUUGAUUUACUCUUACUUGUAUCUUUAGGAUCCGUUUUGAUGGAUGUGUAUGUGUAUUUUAAAUCAAGAAAUUUGAGUUAAGCAGAGAGAAAAAUUAUAGUAAAUAUAUUAGUAGAAUACUUGUAGUUAAUAUAGAAUUCUUAUAUUGAUUUUAAAAAACUAUUAUUAGAUAGUUAUUUUAAAUUCAUCAUUAUAAAGUCAUCUAAUUCAAUAUUGAAAUUCAUAGGUAAAUUGUUAAAUCUAAAUUCAAGCGAUUGUCUAUGCAUUUCAAAUCCGUAUUCAUCCAAAUAGAUCAUUAGUCAAUUUAUUUAUUUAUUUAUUUUUUUGGGGUUCAUUUUACCUUAAGAUUGCUUAUUGAUGCCAUAGCCCUGUACAUGACUGCCGUUUAAUUUUAUUGAAUUUUCCCUCUUUUAAGUGGUUUGGUUUAUGCAAGUUGUCAUUUUUGGGAAGCAUUUCACUUCUAAUGUAUAAAUUCUAUGGGAAAUACAACCUUCCAUCCUUCUUCAACUUCCUUGAAAAUUGAGGUAAGUUAUCAAAGAUGGUUCUGUUGCGUGUCUUUAUGUUAUGGGUAAAUUACACUGACCUCCCUUGAGUUUUAACAUAAUUACAUUGGGUUCCCUAAAGGUUGACAUAACAAUUAACUCAUUUUUCAUCAGUAAUUUGUUAGUCACAUGGAUGAAAAAAAUAAUAUUGUCAUAUGUUUUAUAUUAAAAUAUGUAAUUUUUACUUGUUUAUUCUUGUACUUUUAUAUCAUCUUCAUUAGUUUUGGACCUCUAGUUUCUUUAGCUUUACUAAAAAAGAGGUCAGUGUACUUUAAGGGAGGUUUUGUAAUUUUCCAUUAUGUUAUUAUGCUCAACAUUUUACCUUGUUCUAAUUUUGCAACACACUUUAUAGGCAUUCUAUAAUCCCAUUUUUGAUGUCAUUGAAUUAAAUUACAUCUGUAGCAAAAAAUGUAAACCCUUAUUCUCAAAUGUGUUGCUUCUUACGGAUGGGGAUACUGGCUAUUGCUGCCUGUUGCCGAAGUAGUUUAUCUGGUUUUAUCUUAUUAUCCAAUUUCUGUAACUUGCCCAUUUUUAAUUGUAUCAAUUCUUUCUUAUUCUUGUCAUAGCAUUGUCUGCAUUUUAGUUAUGCUCAACUAACAUUCUGUCCCAUAAACUUCUGUCGGGUUUAAUUUGUUGUUUUAUAGACAUUUCUAAUUAUACACUGGAAUGCUUAUGACUCUCCAGAAGUACUGCUUUGCAUACUUUAUGACGGAGUUUUAAAUUGACAUACCUAAAUCAAUUAAAAUCUUUUCUCUCUUCCCACUUUUCUAAGUUUGGCUUCUUUAAGAACAUCAGGUGCAUUAUAUUUUAAAGAAACAAUAAAAUUUGAUCUGCAUACUGUUUGGCUCAAAGGGUCUUGGUAGACAUUUAAUUUUUUUGGUCUGUCUUUUAGUACAAACCAUUGGAGUUCAGUUUUCAAAAGGUUAAAUGUAUCCUAGAUAACAAGUCAGUAUUGUAGUUUAAAUUACUAUGCUUCCUCCUGUAGGAUUUUAAUAGAGAUCCAUACCCAAGAUCUCAAGUCUAAUUAAGAUAAAGAAUAAUAGAUGUGCAAGUGAUGCCAUUGAUGGAGGUAAUGCAAGCGGUAUACAUCUUGUUGGCUAUCUUCUUUUGCCUCCAAAACCCUACUCUACUUGUCUCACAGGGAUGGGAAACAUAUGAGGCUAGGAUUUGGAGUGGGAACCUUAACCACAUAUUUAUUAAAGCCCUAUUCCAUAUUUUCCCAUCGAUGGAAUUAAACUUUCUACGCGUAUGGUUUAACCCACUCUCACUUUAAUGCAUAUAGCAUGGCCGAAAUACGUGCUCCUAGACACGUGUCACGACCUGGUCAUAUUUCUAUAUUGAUCAUGGUAUAAUGGGCCUAACUAACACCAUCAUAUUCGAUAGUAAACAACGGAUAACUAUAUGUUCCAUAUAGCCCCAUCAACGGAAGAUUGCUAACACCACCACGUCCCAACAAAUUCAUUCACUAAAAUUCAGUGUGAACUUUAAAUUUUGUCUUUUACUAUUUUUGGGAUGCCAACAUUGCUCAAUAAUAUUCUUAACGUCAUGUUGCUCUUUCUAGUUCUGGGUUUUUGGUCUCUUUCUUUGCUGUGUAUGAUGUAUAAAAGAGCAGACCCUAACAAAAAAAAAAAAAAAAU